GGGCAUUUAACUCCUUUGGCCCUGAGGGUGGGGGGGGCCUAAUGACCCUAUAGUGCCAGGAAAAUGAGUUUGUUUUCCUGGCACUAUAGUGGAUACUAAUGAGCAAUAAGCACCCAUUGUUCCCAUUCAUGAAGUUCAGACUGUGAGCAUAUCUUGUUACAAUAAAAGGUUUCAAUAAAUUGUGUUGUUUUCAACUAAUUGUUGCAUUAAAGAAUAGGGGCUGGAGGGUGCAUCUUUAAC